rnacentral:rRNA from 1 species
GAUGGACUCGUCCAUCCUUGGGUGGAAUCUGUGUGGCAUUAAGUUGUCGUGCAGGGGAUGCCCAUCGUUUACUGUGAAAAAAUUAGAGUGUUCAAAGCAGGCUUAUGCCGUUGAAUAUAUUAGCAUGGAAUAAUGAGAUAGGACCUUGGUACUAUUUUGUUGGUUUGCGCACCGAGGUAAUGAUUAAUAGGGACAGUUGGGGGUAUUCGUAUUCCAUUGUCAGAGGUGAAAUUCUUGGAUUUUUGGAAGACGAACUACUGCGAAAGCAUUUACCAAGGAUGUUUU